UUAUUUAGCUGGCAAGGGUGAUACUAUGAUGGCGAGGGUGGUUUUCCCAGGACGAGGUUCAUCCCUUGCACCCUGGUUGUACUGACCCCUGUGACUUCCCCAAACCCAGGAAACUUGACUGCAUAAUCUGUGGUAGUGGGGAAAUAGUUUGAACAAUAUCCUCU